CCUACGGGUGGCUGCAGUGAGGAAUAUUGGUCAAUGGGCGGGAGCCUGAACCAGCCAAGUCGCGUGAGGGAAGACGGUCCUCUGGAUUGUAAACCUCUUUAGUCGGGGAGCAAUGCCGGGCACGCGUGCCCUGAGGGAGAGUACCCGCCGUAUAAGCAUCGGCUAACUCCGGCCCAGCAGCCGCGGUACUCCGGAGGAUGCGGGGAUUAUCGGGAUUUAUGGGGGUAACAGGGUAGUUAGGCGGAUAUUUAAGUCAGCGGUAAAAGGUCGGGGGUAAACACUGUACGGGCGUUGAAACUGGGAAUCUAGAGUGUGCGAGAGGUAGGCGGAAUGCGUGGUGUAGCGGUGAAAUGCAUAGAGAUCACGCAGAAUUCCGAUUGCGAAGGCAGCAUACCGGCGCCCGACUGACGCUGAGGCACGAAAGCGUGGGGAGCGAACAGGAUUAGAUACCCGUGUAGUC
rnacentral:rRNA from 1 species